rnacentral:rRNA from 1 species
GACGAACGCUGGCGGCGUGCUUAACACAUGCAAGUCGAACGGCAAGGCCCUGCUUUUGUGGGGUGCUCGAGUGGCGAACGGGUGAGUAACACGUGAGUAACCUGCCCUUGACUUUGGGAUAACUUCAGGAAACUGGGGCUAAUACCGGAUAGGAGCUCCUGCUGCAUGGUGGGGGUUGGAAAGUUUCGGCGGUCGGGGAUGGACUCGCGGCUUAUCAGCUUGUUGGUGGGGUAGUGGCUUACCAAGGCUUUGACGGGUAGCCGGCCUGAGAGGGUGACCGGCCACAUGGGGACUGAGAUACGGCCCAGACUCCUACGGGAGGCAGCAGUGGGGAAUAUUGCACAAUGGGCGGAAGCCUGAUGCAGCAACGCCGCGUGCGGGAUGACGGCCUUCGGGUUGUAAACCGCUUUCGCCUGUGACGAAGCGUGAGUGACGGUAAUGGGUAAAGAAGCACCGGCUAACUACGUG